rfam:Triticum aestivum genome assembly, contig: Triticum_aestivum_CS42_TGACv1_scaffold_320318_4BL
UUUCUACUCCAUCCGUCCGAAAAUACUUGUCAUCAAAAUGGAUAAAAAGAGAUGUAUCCAUUUUAUCCAUUUUGAUGACAAGUAUUUCCGGACGGAGGGAGUAUUUG